UGGGGAAAUUUUCCGCAAUGGGUGAAGCCUGACGGAGCAAUACCGCGUGAGGGAUGAAGGAUUUUGGUCUGUAAACCUCUUUUCUCAAGAAAGAAGUUCUGACGGUACUUGAGGAAUAAGCAUCGGCUAACUCCGUGCCAGCAGCCGCGGUAAUACGGGGGAUGCAAGCGUUAUCCGGAAUCAUUGGGCGUAAAGCGCCUGUAGGUUGUUUAAUAAGUCUGUUGUUAAAGCCUAGGGCUUAACCCUAGAAAAGCAAUGGAAACUAUUAGACUAGAGUAUGGUAGGGGUAGAGGGAAUUUCUAGUGUAGCGGUGAAAUGCGUAGAUAUUAGAAAGAACACCGGUGGCGAAAGCGCUCUACUGGACAAUUACUGACACUCAGAGGCGAAAGCUAGGGUAGCAAAAGGGAUUAGAUACCCCUGUAGUCA
rnacentral:rRNA from 1 species